GAUGAACGCUGGCGGCGUGCCUAAUACAUGCAAGUCGAGCGAACAGACGAGGUGCUUGCUCCUCUGACGUUAGCGGCGGACGGGUGAGUAACACGUGGAUAACCUACCUAUAAGACUGGGAUAACUUCGGGAAACCGGAGCUAAUACCGGAUAAUAUAUUGAACCGCAUGGUUCAAUAGUGAAAGACGGUUUUGCUGUCACUUAUAGAUGGAUCCGCGCCGCAUUAGCUAGUUGGUAAGGUAACGGCUUACCAAGGCAACGAUGCGUAGCCGACCUGAGAGGGUGAUCGGCCACACUGGAACUGAGACACGGUCCAGACUCCUACGGGAGGCAGCAGUAGGGAAUCUUCCGCAAAGGGCGAAAGCUUGACGGAGCAACGCCGCGUGAGUGAUGAAGGUCUUCGGAUCGUAAAACUCUGUUAUUAGGGAAGAACAAAUGUGUAAGUAACUAUGCACGUCUUGACGGUACCUAAUCAGAAAGCCACGGCUAACUACGUG
rnacentral:rRNA from 1 species